UGGCCUAGUGGUUAAGGCUACGGAUUGCCAAUCCGGAGACGGCGGGUUCGAUUCACGU
rnacentral:tRNA from 1 species